rnacentral:rRNA from 1 species
UACGGAGGGUGCGAGCGUUGUCCGGAAUCAUUGGGCGUAAAGGGCGCGUAGGUGGCGGGACAAGCGUGCGGUGAAAGCCUGGGGCUCAACCCCGGGUCGGCCGUGCGAACUGUUUUGCUUGAGCACUGUAGAGGCAGGCGGAAUUCCGGGUGUAGUGGUGGAAUGCGUAGAUAUCGGGAGGAACACCAGUGGCGAAGGCGGUUGCCUGGGGCUUUGCUGACGCUGAUGCGCGAAAGCGUGGGGAGCGAUCCGG